AUUGAACGCCGGCGGCAUGCCUUACACAUGCAAGUCGAACGGCAGCACGGGAGCAAUCCUGGUGGCGAGUGGCGAACGGGUGAGUAAUGUAUCGGAACGUGCCCAGUAGUGGGGGAUAGCCCGGCGAAAGCCGGAUUAAUACCGCAUACGACCUACGGGUGAAAGCGGGGGAUCGCAAGACCUCGCGCUAUUGGAGCGGCCGAUAUCAGAUUAGCUAGUUGGUGGGGUAAAGGCCUACCAAGGCGACGAUCUGUAGCUGGUCUGAGAGGACGACCAGCCACACUGGGACUGAGACACGGCCCAGACUCCUACGGGAGGCAGCAGUGGGGAAUUUUGGACAAUGGGCGCAAGCCUGAUCCAGCCAUGCCGCGUGCGGGGAGAAGGCCUUCGGGUUGUAAACCGCUUUUGUCAGGGAAGAAACGCGCUAAGUUAAUACCUCGGCGUAAUGACGGUACCUGAAGAAUAAGCACCGGCUAACUACGUGCCAGCCGCCGCGGUAAAAC
rnacentral:rRNA from 1 species